GUUAUUAACAGUGCACACCAAAAAUUGCUAAGGGAAUAGAUAAUUGCGGAACAGGGUCUCCCUAGAUGCCCAAGUGAGGCUCGAACUCCAUAACCUCCCUCCCUCCUCCCCCUGCUUGAUUUUGCCACCACAUAGUGUAUACACAUAUCAAAAAACUGUGCCCUAUAAAUAUAUACAUAUAUAUGAUUUUCAGUGGAAAUUUUAAAGGAAUGUACUUCCUUAUUUUCUUGGCCUCUGCUUUUCAUAGUACGUGAUCUCAGGCCACUUACAGGGGAGACAGCAGAGAUUUAGGUGACUUGCUUCCGGCCAUCCAAUUAGAGGUAAAGCCAGGACUCAAGGCCAUCUCUUCACUCCUUGACCAUGUGGUUUCUUUCCAGAUGACUCAGAAAAGUGGGUCAAAUGAUGAAGGCCUUAGCAGUGUAACUGCAACCUGGGUCACAGGAUCCACAAAGGGCUCUUGGGAAGAGGUCCGCAUGAUUCUUGGUCUUGAGCAAGUUUACUGGCUGGAGGCUAAAAGCUCAGUUUAGGCAGAACACCGGCAGUCCCUGAAUUUAGUCCAAUAGUGGACCGGGCUUAAAGAGAGGAGAAAAUGGGCUCAAGAUAAUUUUAGAAAAUGGAAUCAAGACUAGAUGUGGAAGGUCGGAAAAAAAUUCGAAAUACGUGUCAUAUAUUUUUAUGGGCUCCAAAUCAUUGCCUUUAAGAUGGAGCAUUGGUCUGUUUACUAUUUCACACAACAUGCUGCUGGUACCAAGCCGGACAAAGAUGACAUAUAUUUUUUAAAAUCCUAAAUAAAAUAUCAACAAAUAAGAUCCAACAAUAAAUACCACGAUGAAUAUCGGGAUUAUUUCAGUGGUAUAAAUAUGAUACAAUGGUAAGAGUUAUUCUACAUAAACAGGUCAAAGAAAUAGGAAAGUUUUGAUUGAUUAUUUAAAGUAAUAGCACUCAAUAGUCUUUUGUUGUUUGUUUUUUUCAAGAUAGGGUUUUUCUGUGUAACAACCUCUAGCUGUCUUGGAGCUCAUUUUGUAGACCAGGCUGUCCUGGGACUCACGGAGAUCCACCUGCCUCUGCCUCCCUAGUGCUGGGACUAAAGGCAUGCGCCACCACGGCUGACUCAAUAGUCAUUUUUGAUCAAAGAAACCUUUAGUAAAUGGCUACAUUCACUCAAUAAUAUACAGCCUAAGAGUAUAUCUAAGAAAUACAGGAAUAAAGUUGGUGCUUGCUCACAUAAUUAAUGCUGAAAUGUAAUACAGUGAUGGAAUGUGAGAACUGAAAUUGGUACAGAUGUUUUAGGUGAUUCAAUUAUACACACAGCUCCUUUUCAGAAAGUCUUUUUGAGACAAAGUAGCUAAGACUAACCUUGAACAUCUGAUACCAAAACCUGAACCCCCAAGCGCUAGGACUGUAGGCAACAUCACAAAUUGUUCCUUUCUUUUCCUUCUCCAAGCUGGCCUCAAACUCAGAGAUUGGCCUGCCUCUGCCUCCCAAGAGCUGGGAUUAAAGGCAUGCACCACCACUGCCCAGCUUCCUUUCCAGUUUUUGAUAAGUGAAAUUCAAAGGCAUUUGUGGAUGGCUACCCUAGACGGUGGAGUUGUCACAGAGCUGGGGUAGCAUGUUAUCCAUUCACAGGAGAGCUGUCUAGCGGUAGGCUCUGGAAGUUGGUACCUUUUUGACUGCUCUAUGUAAGGCUUGAAUGCUGUGGAAUAAUCUUUUGUACACUAUAAUGACGAGUUGCUCUCACUAUUAAUAAAAAGCUGAUUGGACAAUGGCUAGGCAGGAUUUCUGGGGCAGAGAGGACAUUGGGAGGAAGGAGGGCAGAAUCUCCGAAGUCUCAGGCGAUGCAGAGAGAAACAAGAUGAACAUGCCAUGUUGAAGGUACUGCCACAUGGCAGAGUGUAGAUAAGAAAUAGGGGUUAAUUUAAAAUGUAAGAAUUAGCUAGUAACAAGCCUGAGCUAUCAGCCAAUCAUUUAUAAUUAAUAAUAAGUUUUAGUCUGGUUAUUUGGGAGCAGCUGCUGGGACACAGAAAAACUCUGCCUACAUUUGAGGGAAAAGAAAACAUCCAGACCCCUCCCAGAAAGUGACAUUUUAAUUUCUUCUUCAGCUUUUCUACCUUGUACCUGAAACAGCAAGAUGCCCAGAAGACAGUUGAAUAGCCUCAGUCACUGGAGCAAAUGCUCUUUGCAUUUUGCACAAACUUGUGCAGUGGUCCCUUCCAUCAGUGGCAUGGAAACCCCCCCACGAACUCCCCUUUCCACUGAAUCCACUGCCUCUUCAGAAAAAAAGCAGGCCUCCAGACAGCAACCAAACACAACAAAACAAAAUACAACAACACCAGGAAAAAGCCCUCACGUAGAAGCUGGACAAAGCAACCUAACAGGAAGAAAAGAGUCCUAAGAGGACCUGGCGCAGACCCCUGAAGGCCCAGUGCUUGCCACUUCCGUCUCUGUGAGCCCGUGUGAGCCCGUGUGAGCCCUGCUGAGUUGAUUCAGUGGGCUGUGUGCCAGUGUCCUCCCUUCCCUCUGACUCCUACAAUCUUUCUGUGCCCUCUUCUUCGGGAUUCUUUGAGCUAUGAGAAGAUGGACUCAAUGGAGUCCUCCAGUUUACACUCUAUCUCCUCAUAAUGUCUGGCUGUGGGUCUCUGUUUUCAUCUGCUGCCAGAGGAAAUCUCUCUGACGACUAUUGGUCAAGGCACCAAACCCAGGUGUGGUAGUUUGAAUAAAAAUGGCCUCCAUAGGCCCAUAGGAGAUGGCACUCUUAGGAGUUUUGGCCUUGUUGGAGUAGGUGUGGCCUUGUUAGAGGAAGUAUGUCACUGGGGGCUGGCUUUGAGGUCUCAGAUGCUCAAGGCUUGCCCAGUGUGGCACUCUCUUCCUGUAGGAUCAAGAUGUAGGACUCUCAGCUGCUUCUCCAGCACCAUGUCUGUCUUCAUGCUGUUGUACUUUCCUGCCACAUCAUAAUGGAUUAAAACCUCUGAACUGUAAGCCAAACCCAAUUAAAGGUUUUUCUCUAUAGGAGUUGCCAUGGUCAUGAUGUCUCUUCAAAGCAAUAAAAUCCUAAGACACUGGCCUCUGGUCUAACCAGUCUCAGGUUCCUGGCCAUCCAAGCAGUGUCCAGCAUGGGCUCCCUCUCAUGGAGUGGGCCUCAAGUUAAAUCAGACAUUGGUUGGCCACUCCCAAAAGUUCUG